ensembl:snoRNA
UGGUGUCAUGAUGAUGGGCAAAAAAAUGUUCAACUGCUCUGAAGGGGCUGAAUGACAAUAGCCUUUCUGAACAUCU